rnacentral:rRNA from 1 species
AACGAACGCUGGCGGCAUGCCUAACACAUGCAAGUCGAACGAGACCUUCGGGUCUGGUGGCGCACGGGUGCGUAACGCGUGGGAACCUGCCCUUAGGUUCGGAAUAACUCCCCGAAAGGGGUGCUAAUACCGGAUAAUGUCUUCGGACCAAAGAUUUAUCGCCUUUGGAUGGGUCCGCGUUGGAUUAGCUAGUUGGUAGGGUAAAAGCCUACCAAGGCGACGAUCCAUAGCUGGUCUGAGAGGAUGAUCAGCCACACUGGGACUGAGACACGGCCCAGACUCCUACGGGAGGCAGCAGUGGGGAGUAUUGGACGAUGGGCGAAAGCCUGAUCCAGCAGUGCCGCGUGAGUGAUGAAGGCCUUAGGGUUGUAAAGCUCUUUUACCCGGGAUGAUAAUGACAGUACCGGGAGAAUAAGCUCCGGCUAACUCCGUG